rnacentral:rRNA from 1 species
CACGGAAACCAGGGGCUUGCUCCUGGGGAUAGUGGCGCACGGGUGAGUAAUACGUAGGUAAUGUACCGUUUGGCGUGGAAUAACCGACGGAAAGUUUGGCUAAUACCGCAUAAGUUCCCUUGAGGUUUGCCGAUGGGGAGGAAGGCGGGGCAACUUGCACCGAACGAUCAGCCUGCGUCCCAUCAGCUUGUUGGUGAGGUAACGGCUCACCAAGGCUACGAUCAGCAGCUGGUCUGAGAGGAUGAUCAGCCACAUUGGGACUGAGACACGGCCCAAACUCCUACGGGAGGCAGCAGUGGGGAAUAUUGGACAAUGGGGGCAACACUGAUCCAGCCAUGCCGCGUGAGUGAUGAAGGCCUUAGGGUUGUAUAGCUCUUUUAGCAGGGAAGAUAAUGACGGUACCUGCAGAAAAAGCCCCGGCUAACUUCGUGCCAGCCGCCGCAGUAAUAC